GUUAGCUGCUGAUCAGUUAAAAUUUGAAAUUUGAAGGUUUCCUAGGUCACAUCCCACUGGUAGGAGAUCCCGGGACAGACCCAGAUUACCUUGGAGGGAGUAUUUAUACUUUCUGGUCUUGGAAUGCUUUGGGAUCUCUCAGAAAGAGCUGUGGAGUUUAGCCUGGGUGAGGGAUGUCUGAGUUUACUCCGGAAACUGAAACUCCUGGUUUCCACAGCGAUCUAAUCAUAGUUAAGUGGAUGACAAUUAUGGAUGGAUGGACAGAUGAAUAGUUUAAAAAAGGACAUUGAGAAUUAACUGAGAGUUCAAAAGUUUGUCUGAUUCCAGAAAGUGAUUAGAUUUUUUGGUGUCAAAAUGAAGGGAAUAUUUGGACCCGUUGCUGGGUUGUUCAGGCACCUAUGGAUGUGGACAGCUUCAUAAGAGAUGAAGCUUAAAAGGAAUGCUGUGGGUUGCUAUAAUUGAAACUAACAAAGCCAAACAGUCAAUCCUUUCUACUCAAUGAACUUUGCACCAGGAAAGAAGUUACUGAUUAAAUUAAAUGGAGACUUGUACAACCAACUCCCCAUACUGCUAAAUCUCUGACAUUUCUGAAACGUCCAACAAACAACUUACAAUUCAGAAAUCUAACAGCCGACAUGGCAAACAAGCCAGAAUUACCAAGAAGAAGCUCCAUGGACACUCAUAUUUUAUUCCAAAAAUUUUAUGAAUAUUACCAACUAUUCAUCAGUCUACAGGACAAAAGUGAAGCAAGUGUGAGAAAUAUUUUACAAGAGCUCAGAAGGACAAUUAACAAAAUCAAAAAGUUGCAAAGUGAAACUAAUAAAACAAGCUUGAUCGGAGGAGGAGUUGGAGGUCUUGGUAUAGGGUUGGGAGUGGCUACAGCUGGAGUAUUAUUAUUCGGUGGUUUUGAAAAAAAUGACAAAC